rnacentral:lncRNA from 1 species
CAAGCCGUGUCGGCCCCGAGGCCACGGCAUAAAGUUGUUCACACGAACACCACCAAAAAAAAAAAAGAAGGGAGACGUCGCUCAGGCCCCAGGGGAAUCCAUAGAGUCAUCAAAAGGAACCACCACAGGCAUCUCGACGUCUUCAUCCUCAGGGUGACACGAGAAAGGAUCAACGUCAAAGUAGAGGUUGGGAAACUGAGCCCGAAACCAUGACACC